rnacentral:tRNA from 1 species
GGAGGUUUAGCUCAGUUGGGAGAGCAUCUGCUUUACAAGCAGAGGGUCAGCGGUUCGAGCCCGUUAACCUCCACCA